rnacentral:rRNA from 1 species
CUUAACCGGGCGUUAAGUUGCAGGGUAUAGACCCGAAACCCGGUGAUCUAGCCAUGGGCAGGUUGAAGGUUGGGUAACACUAACUGGAGGACCGAACCGACUAAUGUUGAAAAAUUAGCGGAUGACCUGUGGCUGGGGGUGAAAGGCCAAUCAAACCGGGAGAUAGCUGGUUCUCCCCGAAAGCUAUUUAGGUAGCGCCUCGUGAAUUCAUCUCCGGGGGUAGAGCACUGUUUCGGCUAGGGGGCCAUCCCGGCUUACCAACCCGAUGCAAACUGCGAAUACCGGAGAAUGUUAUCACGGGAGACACACGGCGGGUGCUAACGUCCGUCGUGAAGAGGGAAACAACCCAGACCGCCAGCUAAGGUCCCAAAGUCAUGGUUAAGUGGGAAACGAUGUGGGAAGGCCCAGACAGCCAGGAUGUUGGCUUAGAAGCAGCCAUCAUUUAAAGAAAGCGUAAUAGCUCACUGGUCGAGUCGGCCUGCGCGGAAGAUGUAACGGGGCUAAACCAUGCACCGAAGCUGCGGCAGCGACACUGUGUGUUGUUGGGUAGGGGAGCGUUCUGUAAGCCUGUGAAGGUGUGUCGUGAGGCAUGCUGGAGGUAUCAGAAGUGCGAAUGCUGACAUAAGUAACGAUAAAGCGGGUGAAAAGCCCGCUCGCCGGAAGACCAAGGGUUCCUGUCCAACGUUAAUCGGGGCAGGGUGAGUCGACCCCUAAGGCGAGGCCGAAAGGCGUAGUCGAUGGGAAACGGGUUAAUAUUCCCGUACUUGGUGUUACUGCGAAGGGGGGACGGAGAAGGCUAUGUUGGCCGGGCGACGGUUGUCCCGGUUUAAGCGUGUAGGUGUGUGUUCCAGGUAAAUCCGGUUCACUUUAACACUGAGGCGUGACGACGAGGCACUACGGUGCUGAAGCAACAAAUGCCCUGCUUCCAGGAAAAGCCUCUAAGCAUCAGGUAACAUCAAAUCGUACCCCAAACCGACACAGGUGGUCAGGUAGAGAAUACCAAGGCGCUUGAGAGAACUCGGGUGAAGGAACUAGGCAAAAUGGUGCCGUAACUUCGGGAGAAGGCACGCUGACACGUAGGUGAAGUGAUUUACUCAUGGAGCUGAAGUCAGUCGAAGAUACCAGCUGGCUGCAACUGUUUAUUAAAAACACAGCACUGUGCAAACACGAAAGUGGACGUAUACGGUGUGACGCCUGCCCGGUGCCGG